UCCUGGGUGGUGUAGUGGUUAGCACUUGGUGCUUUUAUCACUGCAGCCCAGGUUCAAUCCCUAGUCUGGGAA
rnacentral:tRNA from 1 species